ACCGGUAAGCUCUCUUGAGGGGCCUGGAUGGAAGUCAGCCCUAUCCCGUCAUGGCGCAGACAAGGGUUUAUAGUGGCGCCAUCUUCUCUUUGAACAAAUCGAAGAAGCCAAGGGGGAGCAUAUCACAUCAGCUAAGUAAGGUUAAACUGAGCUAAAAUUGGGAGCAUAACUAUAGCUGCAUGUGGCGGCGGUGCUCAUCUCCCUUACAUUGAUCCCAGCUACCUAUGACAUACUUUUUCUUUCGUUCCACCCAUUAAAGUCGAGCUGGAAAUGUGACUCCGGGGAAAACAAGAACAAAGAUAAGAGCCUUGUUUGUGGAGCAGAAGAGGCCACCACCAGCUCUCGCUUUGACAGGAAGACCUCGACGCCAAAAGACCAAGAGAGGUGGAAAGAUUGUGUUCAGGGUUCGAGGUUCUUGGUUUACGAACUUGAAUGGAGAGUUAAUGGACUUGAUGCCGGCUUUGUGGACCGACUAUUUCUUUAUAUCAUCUCAUUAAUAUCUCAUCGUACCCUGCCAUCUUUGCUCAUUUAGUGUAGAAUAGCAUGAUGAUUUUCUUUUCUCUCUCAUUACAGGUUCGUGGCAAGUGGCUGUGGAGUGCCUGCCUGUGUGGGCGUCUGUUGGGGCGUGUGUUGGUGGAUCUGAGACGUCAUUCCAAGUCCUUCAAGCCGAGCAAGCAGCAAGAGGUAGCACCAACAAGCUUUGACCGUGUGUGGCGCUGAUCACCACCGAGCCUGGCGUCAUGAGCAAACAACAAGGGGACGCCGGGGCUGUUAAGGAACUCACCUGGACCACUGAGGAAGGAAAGGUGAACUUGGAGGGUCGUGGGCGGCGCGGCAACACUUCCAGAACUUCCUGAUGGGCGCGUGUCGUGUGGCUGCUGCCCGCCCACCUGCUAUCCUCUGGUCCUUGUUUCCUGCUUCCUGCUGCCGCAACUCAGUGCGACGCGUGGCGGAACAGAACCCGUGAUCAGAGUUGCAGGUGAGUCCAGUGUGUUCCGUUGUGUUUACUGUACCGAGCCGUGUGUAUGUAUUGU